GCUGGGCACAGAGGGGCAGGUGCCUGUAGUCCCAGCUAUUCAGGAAGCUGAGGUCGGGGGAUCGCUUGAGGCCAGGAGUUCCAGGCUGCAGUGCACUAUGAUUGUGCCUGUGAAUAGCCACUGCACUGCACUCCAGCCUGGACAACAGAGCGAGACCCCAUCUCUU
rfam:Homo sapiens chromosome 1, GRCh38 reference primary assembly.